rnacentral:lncRNA from 1 species
AGAUACAGGGGUACCUCGGGUUAAGCACUUAAUUCGUUCCAGAGGUCUGUUCUUAACCUGAAACUGUUCUUAACCUGAAGCACCACUUUAGCUAAUGGGGCCUCCUCCUGCUGCCGCGCUGCCGAAGCACGAUUUCUGUUCUCAUCCUGAAGCAAAGUUCUUAACCUGAAGCACUAUUUCUGGGUUAGCGGAGUCUGUAACCUGAAAGCGUAUGUAACCUGAGAUACCACUGUAAAUCCAAGGCCAACCUACCAUGUGCUAAAUGACGGAUGGGCAGAAGGUAGAUUGGGAUCUACUGGUAGCUCUCUGGCUGAUUUGCAAUAGGAUGUUUAAGAGUUCAGUGGGACCUAUUCUCAAGAAAACCUGGAGCCGAGAUGCCAUCACCCACUGCAACACCUUACCUAAGAAAAGAUCAAGACUGAGCAGAAAAUUAGACCAGAAACAAUAGGAGAGAAUGAAGUAUGAGUGAAAGAAUCAAAGAGAUGAGUGCAAAAUGGGAAGAAGCACAAAAUUUUCUGUUUUGGAAAAAAUCACUACAACAGAACAUGGACGAAGAAUCCAAAAUAAAGCAAAAAUAAAAGCAUAAAGGUCAAACACUGGACAAGAGGUGCAAUCAGAUUAACAGGUGUUAAGUUAAAUAGAUAUUAUCAAAGGAGUUAUCAAAAGAGGAAGAUUAGAUUAUUUUGGGAAGGAGAGCAUGCAAAUAUUUGUCUCCCAAAUCAGAAAUCUCUAUAGACACUCCCACUGUUCUAAAUGGUCAUACAGAUUGCACAUUUUCUGAGAUGCAGUAGAGUACUUUUUCUAGUUGCACAAUUUCCAGCAUCACUGGCCUGAGAAGAGACUCCUGCCUAAAAUUCUCAAGAGUCACUGCCCGUCAGUGUAGACAGUACUGAGCUAAAUUAACCAAUGGUCUGACUUAGUAUAAGGCAGCUUCCUGUAUUCCUAGGGCUUUUCUACACCUUUAAGAGAGUAGAUCAAAGAUGCCAAGGGAUUUCAAGUUUAUGCCUAAAAAUGUAAGGUGUGUUGGUCCAUCAAACAGGCAUUUGAAAACACAUAAUAUAGGUGCACUUGUCAGAUAAAUACCUAAGUUUCACUAUGACUCCUUAUUGAGAGUACACCCAGUAGCAAACAUAUUUCCCAUAAGGUUUCUAGUUUGCAGAAGGCUGUAUUUCAAAGAACACUUUAUAUUUACCUUUAGAGAAAAACCUGUUGAUUGACGCUGAUGAAGCUGGUUCAGCAUUAAGAGAAGACGGCAACUCGUUUUCUUCUGGUGCCAGAUGACUUUGUUUCAUUUGGUUUUUCUUCUGUUACAACCACCUUGCCUUCUUCAAACUAUGUGUUUUAU